GCGCCCAACCCUUAUGUCUCUGCCAUCGUUCCUCCAUCCCAAAUCCGCUGGAAAUCACCCAAAUUUCGGCAGUCAACAUAAGCCACACUCCCCCUCACCCUCCUCUCUCUUCAUCCAUGUGGCCUGACACAACCAUUUUUAUACGACCCUGAAUAUUUCCCUCAUUCUCACGUGAUGGAAGCCUCUAGAAGGGAUAUUCUGGAUGAGUAGGGAGUGUGGGAUCAAUUCUUAUUGAUCCUAGCCCUUCAUUCAUCAUGUUUAUCCCUUAUAAGUAGAGGACAAUUUUGAAGAACAAGGGGGUUCCGGAGUCGGAUUUUCAGAGAGAGAGAUUUUUUGACGAAGAGAGCUAGGUGUUCUUUCUCUGAUUUUGUCAAAAAGAGGUUUUCAUUUCUGUUUCUGUUUUUCGAUUUUCACAUUCUAAAAAAUCUCUUAUAUUUGUAGUUUCAAAAUUGGUGUCCGUUUGAAUUCUGGUUGCUGUUUGUAAUUCGAGUCCACAUAUCCUGAAUCACUCAUCAUUGUUUCACUCAUUCCUGGUUGAGUUUUUCGAUAUCAAAUUAAUCGAAAGUAUUUUUUCAUAUUCAGGAGCACCUCUUUUUUUUAUUUUUUUUAUUUUGUUGUUAUUGCUUAAUUUUGUUUGUCGUGGAAUGAGACAAGGUAUUUGUUCAUAGCUUAUUAUGACUGAUUUACUGCUUU
rnacentral:lncRNA from 1 species